GGUCAUAUGGCCCCAAAGGUCUUGGCUUACACCCGGCUUACAUGGGCCGGACCAUGGGGAUCCACCCCCAAAAAGGGACGUUAUUCUCCAAAACCCGUUCGUAUUUCGAAUUGGGGGUUGAAACUCCCCCUCUUGAACUUGGUUUCGGUAUUAAUCCCGUUCAAAAAGGUGCGGUGAAUACCUCCCUGCUCCUUGCACAAACUCCUUCCCCCCCCUGCUACUUUC
rnacentral:rRNA from 1 species